rnacentral:rRNA from 1 species
UACGGAGGGUGCAAGCGUUAUCCGGAUUCACUGGGUUUAAAGGGUGCGUAGGUGGGUCUGUAAGUCAGUGGUGAAAUCUUCGAGCUUAACUCGGAAACUGCCAUUGAUACUAUAGGUCUUGAAUUAUCUGGAGGUAAGCGGAAUAUGUCAUGUAGCGGUGAAAUGCUUAGAUAUGACAUAGAACACCAAUUGCGAAGGCAGCUUACUACGGAUCGAUUGACACUGAGGCACGAAAGCGUGGGGAUCAAACAGG